UUUUUUAAUACAAAAAAGAUAUAUAAUCUUUUGGGAAAACUUCAAAAAUUUUCUAUGCCGUUUCAUAGUUUCUCAUUUUGCCCAUCUGUGGUUUAAAAUAUAUCAAUUUGCUCCCCCAUGGUUUCUUUUUUCUCUUUUUUUUAUCAAUUUCAUUAUUUUUUUUUAAAUCAGUGAUAAAAUUAAAAUUAAAGGGUACUAAAGUGAAUAUUUGAUAAAUCUAUAUAGGUAUUUGAAGUUUUUUGUAUAUAAUUUAAUAAAAUAUUAACGAAAAAGCUACCGAAAAAAUAAAAACAAAAUCACAGGGGGGCAAUUUGAUAUAUUUUAAACCACAGGGGAGCAAAGUGAGAAACUACGAAACCACAGGGG
rnacentral:lncRNA from 1 species